rnacentral:misc_RNA from 1 species
CCGAGUUUACAACUCCCAAACCCCUGUGAACAUACCAAUUGUUGCCUCGGCGGAUCAGCCCGCUCCCGGUAAAACGGGACGGCCCGCCAGAGGACCCCUAAACUCUGUUUCUAUAUGUAACUUCCGAGUAAAACCAUAAAUAAAUCA